rnacentral:rRNA from 1 species
AGAGUUUGAUCAUGGCUCAGAAUCAACGCUGGCGGCGCGCUUAACACAUGCAAGUCGAACGAGAAAGCCCGCAAGGGUGAGUAAAGUGGCGUACGGGUGAGUAACACGUGGGUAAUCUACCUUUUGGUGGGGAAUAACGCUGGGAAACCGGCGCUAAUACCGCAUAAGCUCGGAAGAGGAAAAGAGAAAUCUGCCGAAAGAGGAGCCCGCGGCUGAUUAGCUAGUUGGUGAGGUAAAGGCUCACCAAGGCAAUGAUCGGUAGCCGGCCUGAGAGGGCACACGGCCACACUGGCACUGAAACACGGGCCAGACUCCUACGGGAGGCAGCAGUGGGGAAUCUUGCACAAUGGGGGAAACCCUGAUGCAGCGACGCCGCGUGAGUGAUGAAGCCCUUCGGGGUGUAAAGCUCUUUCGGCAGGGACGAUAAUGACGGUACCUGAAGAAGAAGCUGCGGCUAACUACGUGCCAGCAGCCGCGGUAAUACGUAGGCAGCAAGCGUUGUUCGGAGUUACUGGGCGUAAAGAGUGCGUAGGCGGUUUUCUAAGUUUGGUGUGAAAUCUCCCGGCUUAACUGGGAGGGUGCGCCGAAGACUGGAAGGCUUGAGUAUGGGAGAGGUAAGCGGAAUUCCUGGUGUAGCGGUGAAAUGCGUAGAUAUCAGGAGGAACACCUGCGGUGUAGACGGCUUACUGGACCAUAACUGACGCUGAGGCACGAAAGCGUGGGUAGCAAACAGGAUUAGAUACCCUGGUAGUCC